AUUUUCUUCUUCUUCUUGCCGUGAGUUGAGAAAGAAAAUAGAAACCUUUGAGCUUAGGGCAUUCGGCAAAAGAAGGCUUCAAAUAAGGUUGUGGAUUCUGACUACCAGUUCGGGGAUCAUCAGCACUUCGUCACACUAUCUACCAUUACGGCAACUAUGUGAUUAGACUUAGCUUAUGGCAUGUAUAGGAUAGACAAUAUAGUAGAAUGAUAUUUUGACUAUUGUAUAUAAGCCAUAUGAAAAUGGCAUCUUUUGAAUGUUUACUUAUAGAAGUUUACAAGUUAACCUUGGCUGUGUUUAGUGUUUAUCCAAAUGAAUGAUCAAAAAAUAAAUAAAUAAAAAAAAGAAAAAAAAAUUUUACCGUUC